CCUACGGGGCGCAGCAGUCGAGAAUCAUUCACAAUGGGGGAAACCCUGAUGGUGCGACGCCGCGUGGGGGUAUGAAGGUCUUCGGAUUGCAAACCCCUGUCAUGUGGGAGCCAAUUAACAAGAUAGUACCACAUGAGGAAGAGACGGCUAACUCUGUGCCAGCAGCCGCGGUAAUACAGAGGUCUCAAGCGUUGUUCGGAAUCACUGGGCGUAAGGCGUGCGUAGGCUGUUUCGUAAGUCGUGUGUGAAAGGCGCGGGCUCAACCCGCGGACGGCACAUGAUACUGCGAGACUAGAGUAAUGGAAGAGGAACCGGAAUGCUCGGUGGAGCAGUGAAAUGCGUAGAUAUCGAGAGGAACACUCGUGGCGAAGGCGGGUUCCUGGACAUUAACUGACGCUGAGGCACGAAGGCCAGGGGAGCGAAAGGGAUUAGAUACCCCAGUAGUC
rnacentral:rRNA from 1 species